rnacentral:rRNA from 1 species
CUACGGGGUGCAGCAGUGGGGAAUAUUGCACAAUGGGGGAAACCCUGAUGCAGCAACGCCGCGUGGAGGAUGACGCAUUUCGGUGUGUAAACUUCUUUUAUAUAGGAAGAUAAUGACGGUACUAUAUGAAUAAGCACCGGCUAACUCCGUGCCAGCAGCCGCGGUAAUACGGAGGGUGCAAGCGUUACUCGGAAUCACUGGGCGUAAAGCGCGCGCAGGCGGCCUUUUAAGUUGGAUGUGAAAGCCUAUGGCUUAACCAUAGAACUGCAUCCAAAACUAUCAGGCUAGAGUCUGGGAGGGGAAGAUGGAAUUAGUUGUGUAGGGGUAAAAUCCGUAGAGAUAACUAGGAAUACCAAAAGCGAAGGCGAUCUUCUGGAACAGUACUGACGCUGAGGCGCGAAAGCGUGGGGAGCAAACAGGAUUAGAUACCCCUGUAGUC